rnacentral:rRNA from 1 species
GUGCGAGCGUUGUCCGGAAUCACUGGGCGUAAAGGGCGCGUAGGCGGCCUGAUAAGUCGGGGGUGAAAUCCUGCGGCUUAACCGCAGGGCUGCCUUCUAAACUGUCAGGCUGGAGCACAGUAGAGGCAGGUGGAAUUCCCGGUGUAGCGGUGGAAUGCGUAGAGAUCAGGAAGAACAUCAGUGGCGAAGGCGGCCUGCUGGGCUGUUGCUGACGCUGAGGCGCGACAGCGUGGGGAGCAAACAGG